AUCAUUUAGGUUAGAAAAGAAUUUUAAGAUCAUUGAGUCCAACCAUAAGCCUAAUACUGCCAAGUCCACCCUAAAGCAUGUCCCUAAGCACCACAUCUACACGUCUUUUAAAUACCUCCAGGGAUGGUGACUCAACCACUUCCCUGGGCAGCCUUUUGGUAAAGAGAUUUCCC